CGGAGCAAUGCUAUUUAUAUCUGUGGCCUGUGGUCCCAGACAGGAAGAAAGAGAGGGGCCUCCUGUGUCCUAUCCAGCAGAAAGAGCAAGAAAGACUCCAAGGUGUUGCACAGGGGCGGAGACCAGGGCUCUGAAGAUUUCUUAGAAGAACAGGCAGGUCCAUGCCAAGAGUCCUUCAAAAGGUGGCCUGUGUCCGUGCUGACCACGAAGACGACCAGUAGAUGCCUUUGACUUCCCUGGAAUCGCAGGGCAGCCAGCUUCCCGGGAGGCACUUGAGCUGCGAGGGGCGAAUGUGGCCAUCGGACAGGAUCCUGCUCAGGAUCAGGAAUAAGAAGAGGGGAACCGCAGUCGGGUUUCAUUGUGAUACCCGGGGCAAAACUAGCAACAGACGUGGGCAGGACAAAGAACUGGCCUGAGACAAUAAUUUGUGUCAAGACUCCAUCCAAUCACCAGGCCCUGCUGCAUUCACGUUCUCCUGAUUUAUGUCUCAGCUCCCAGAAUGCCAGGUGCCUGCAGCAUGAGGAGGUGGAGGCUUUGGCAGGUGUUCUGCCAGCACGGAUCAGAUUUAUCACCAAAUUAAACACAACUGUGAAUUUGGAAGAAAAAUUGUCAAAUUCACAAAGUAUGCCACAGAUUAGCCCAAAUACAGUUGCUUCUAACCUAUGCAUUUUGUCUGGAUGUUUGCAUUUGUUGGAGGUAAGAUAUGCUGCAAGGCCAGGGCUGGCCAGCAACAUUUCGUUUGUUCCUUCUAACAAAAGCAGAAUGAGGGCUGGGGAGUUAGCUCAGUGGUUCUGCCGCCUUCCAAAGCGCAAGGUCCUGAAUUAGAUCCCUGGUGUAAAAAAAAAAAAAAAAAAAAAAAAAAAAAAAAAAAAAAAAAAAGAAAAUAGAUCUGAAUAUAAACAAAGAGAAAUCAAAGGAUUGAUAAUAGGAAACCCGGGCCAGGGAUUUAGCUAAGUGGUGCUGCACCUGCUUGGCAAGCACAAAGUUCCGAGUUCAAUCCGCAGUACCAAAAAAAAAAGGAAUCAGGGAGCUAGAUCUUUUGCAAAUAGGAGGGGGACCAAGAGACGGAGGGAAGGAGAUGUGAGGAUGAAAAAAGAAUUAAAAUGUGCUAUUAUAUACAAGUACCAACGCUUCACAGGGAAUGUUCUCAUUAUGCACUGCAAGGGUGCACCAAUAAAAAUAAUAAUUGAAAAAAAGGAAAGGAUCCGAAAGUACCUUUGAAUCCUAAAAGCACGACACAGAUGUGUGUUUUCCUUACUGAUUUCACUGUUGUGCUAUUUAAAGGAAAAUAGUUAGGAGAUAAACAGUGUAAAUUAGCUCUUUUCUCUUUCUUUUAUGCCAGUGCAUUUUCUAACGCAUUCUAAAUGCAAUAGAACCUCUCUAUUUUGUU
rnacentral:lncRNA from 1 species